AGCGAACGCUAGCGGCGGGCCUAACACAUGCAAGUCGAACGGCAGCACGGGCUUCGGCCUGGUGGCGAGUGGCGAACGGGUGAGUAAUGCAUCGGAACGUGCCCAUGUUGUGGGGGGAUAACUACGCGAAAGCGUGGCUAAUACCGCAUACGCCUUGAGGGGGGAAAGCGGGGGGAUUCUUCGGAACCUCGCGCAAUUGGAGCGGCCGAUGUCAGAUUAGCUUGUUGGUGAGGUAAAGGCUCACCAAGGCGACGAUCUGUAGCGGGUCUGGGAGGAUGAUCCGCCACACUGGGACUGAGACACGGCCCAGACUCCUACGGGAGGCAGCAGUGGGAAUUUGGACAAUGGGCGAAAGCCUGAUCCAGCCAUGCCGCGUGUCUGAAGAAGGCCUUCGGGUGUAAGGACUUUGUCUAGGGAGCAAACUUACUAGGUUAAUACCGGUGAGGCUGAGAGU
rnacentral:rRNA from 1 species